AACCUCUCAAUGUCACACCUGGAGAGUUUCCAGUACUCAACCAGUCUCAACUAUGGGAGGGAGCGUUAAGCAGAGACAUAUCCAUUCCAUUCCAAGCUUGGCCAGUGGCUAGUGAGUGGAAGGCAAUCUGCUACAAGU